rnacentral:rRNA from 1 species
UGGCCGCGUGGAUAAGACAUGCAAGUCGAACGCUGUUUGCAGGGUAGCAAUAUCUUGCAAGCGGAGUGGCGCAAGGGUGCGUAACACGUGGGUAAUUUGCCAUAAAGUUGGGGAUAACUCGCUGAAAGGCGAGCUAAUACCGGAUGUGACUGUUUGGAGGCAUCUUCGAACAUUUAAAGUUGGGGACCGCAAGGCCUGACGCUUUAUGAUAAACCCGCGGCCUAUCAGCUAGUUGGUGAGGUAACGGCCCACCAAGGCUAAGACGGGUAGCUGGUCUGAGAGGACGACCAGCCACACUGGAACUGAGACACGGUCCAGACACCUACGGGUGGCAGCAGUCGAGAAUUUUUCACAAUGGGGGAAACCCUGAUGGAGCGACGCCGCGUGGGGGAUGAAUGGCUUCGGCCCGUAAACCCCUGUCAUUUGUGAACAAACGUUAUACAUGAACAAUGUGUGACUUGAUAGUAACGGAAGAGGAAGGGACGGCUAACUCUGUGCCAGCAGCCGCGGUAAUACAGAGGUCCCAAGCGUUGUUCGGAUUCACUGGGCGUAAAGGGUGCGUAGGUGGCCGGGUAAGUCUGAUGUGAAAUCUCCGAGCUUAACUCGGAAAAUGCAUUGGAUACUCUCCGGCUCGAGGAUUGGAGGGGAGACUGGAAUUCUUGGUGUAGCAGUGAAAUGCGUAGAUAUCAAGAGGAACACCAGUGGCGAAGGCGAGUCUCUAGACAAUUCCUGACACUGAGGCACGAAAGCUAGGGGAGCAAGCACGAUUAGAUACCCUGGUAGUCCUAGCCGUAAACGGUGCAUAUUUGCUGUAAAAGGAAUCGACCCCUUUUGUGGCGUAGCUAACGCGUUUAAAUAUGCCGCCC